rnacentral:lncRNA from 1 species
UUUUUUUUUUUUUUUUUUUUUUUUUUUUUGUUUUUUUGUUUUUUUGUUUUUCUGAAAUAUUUAGACAGAGGAAUGGGAGUUCUAGAUAGCUCCCGAACAAAGCGGGUGAUGGCUCUCCAACUGGUUAGAAUUCCUGGGGACUUACUGUACAAUGAUGGUGUCUUCGAUCCACUCUGAAGGUACCAGAGUAUUUUUGGAAGCUCCUCGGUUGGUUGAGAUGUGCAGCUGGGUUUAAGAAAUGCUGCCCAGGAGGAAUCUAAACUCCAGGAAACAGCGAAGCCCUCAUUCCCUCACCUGCAUGGGCCAAUCAGACUGAUCACUCCCAAUGGUCUCUUACAAAGGAACCAGUGGUUUUCAAAUAUAUAUAUAUUUAAGCCACGGAAUCUGUUCAAAUGGAUUCCCAGUAUAAAAAUCAGAUGGAGGAGAGCUGCUCUGAGUAUAGUUUCGAGUAUACCUUGACCCCAAGGGGACCCACCAAUGCAGAGAACAAUUUGAAAACUCUUUGCUUGGUUGUAGAUUUUUCUUUUUAAAUCAACUUCAUUGAGGUUUACUUUAUACAAUAAUAUGCAACUGUGCUGUUUUUCCAUCAUUGGCCAGUUCUCCAAUUUUCUGACACCGAUAGGUGUCAUUUUAAUUCAGUUUUGGCACUAACUCCUGGGGUUAAUUUCUGAGCUUUUUAAUAGAGGUUUCCUAGGUAGGCAUGUAUCAGGUAGGCACAAAUCACUGGCCAUUGGUGACUGAACUCACUCUCCUCCUCCCAGAUGUCUGGGUAAGGUGGGUGAGAAGGUCUAAACUUCUAAUCCCAUGGUUGGUUUUCUGGCAACCAGCUCCCAUCUCCCAUUUCUCAGGUCCAAAGGGAUCCAAAGGGGCUUAUUAUGAAUAACAAAAGACACUCUGAACACUCAGAAAAUUUCAAGGGUUUUAUGAGAUCUGUGUCAGGAACUGAAGACAAAGACCAGAUAUAUUGCUUACUAUAUACUCCAGCACCUAUUCGGCAUGUACAGUUUGAUGCAUUCUUACAUCUAUGUAUAUUCAUGUAACCCAUACCCCUAUCAAGAUCCAGAACAUUCCCAUUACCCUAUGAAGUUCCCCUGUGAUCCUUUGGUAGCUGCUCCCUCCUCUCCACCACCUCCCCAGGCAACUACUACUCUGUUUUCUGACACUAUGGAUUUCCCUUUAGUAGAACUUCAUAUAAAUGAGUAAAAUAACUGUUUACUCUCUUUUUGUCUGGUUUCUUUUCCUCCUCAAAGUGUUGGAGGUGCAUUUAUCUUUGUGCUAAUAUCAGCAUUGAUCUGUUUCUUCUCAUUGCUGAGUAUGGAAUCACCAGUCUGUUUAUUACUGUGCCUAUGGAUGGAUGUUGGAGUCCUUUCUAGUUUUUGGCUAUUUUGGAUGAAGCUGCCAUGGACAUUUGUGGACAAGGCAUUUUGUUCACAAAUGUUUUAUUUCUCUUCAGUAAACACCAAGCAGUGGAAUUUAGAUGGUAGGUUUUUAAGGACGCAAUUCACAUGUCAUUCAUCUUUGUAACUCAACACAGUUGCUUUGAGCCUGUGUUAAAUGAAUUUCUUGGUUGGAAUUUAUGUUCACUAUGUGCUAGAUACUCUUUAAUAUUGUCGUCUUUAAUCCUUCCAAAGACCAUAAGACCUAAGUCUUAUUUUUAUAGAGCUUUAAUUCUAGCUGGGGAAAUAAAGGCACAGAGAAGUCAAGUAGCCAGCCUAGGAGCACACAGCUAGUCGGGAGUAGAAGUGGGAGUCAAACUCUCAGUUUGAGUACAAAGGCCAGGCUUAUUGGUCAUUACUAUUUUUGGCUGCCUACCCAAACAAGGCAAUUUAAUUUGCAAGAGAAUCUUGACAUUCUCCAGAGAGCCUCUGUGGGAUAAGCAAAGGCUCUCCAGCCACUGAAGUGGGUCAGAUGUUGCUACCAUGAAGUCUGAGUCAGCCUGUGACUCUGGGAUACUGACCAUUUUGUCCUAUCAUUUACUGUUUAAAGAAAAAAAGAGAACCAUCAGCUAAAAUUUACCUGCAUUUUCCGUGUUACCCCACAUUUUGCUAUUAAACUAAUUACAAAUUGCUGCCUUGUGGGAAUUUAGACUAAUUUUCUGGCUCUUCUUGUGUCAAUUCGCAUAAAUGAUGCUUCCACCAUAUCCACAGACUAUUCUACAACCUUUUUGUUUGGCCUCCAGAAUCUUCUGAAGAAAAUGAAUUUAUGGGGAUCCAGUGUUCUUUAAAAUGUCAUAUUAAUCCACCUCCUCUAAGAGGGCAUGGAAUACAGGAGAGCAGUUGCCACUAGGGUUCAGUAUGGCCUAUGGUCCCUCAGUGAGGACAGAGUGGGCUCAGAUUGGCCCAACCUGCACUGGAUGGCACUGGCUUAGUCACACUGGUUGACAAAAUGCUGAACUACUCCAGCAAUGGGUGAAGACCUCACUGCCCUGGCGCCUCUCCAUGGGCCCUUUCCUCUCGGCUGCUCCUAGAUCCAGCAAGUAAAGCAUUAGCACCUAUCUCUGCAGGAGGCCUCCAGAACCCUGUUCCAUGCCAUGGCCAUAGCCCAUUUCCUCUUCCCUGGCUCCCAUGACACAAAAUUGUUACAUAGUUUGACUAUAGCUCUUGGCUAAAAGUUGUUUUAAAAAUAGAAAUGUAUAGGCAUCAGGUCGGUUAUGUUCUCACCCAAUUUUUAGUAUUUAUUAUUUAUUUUUUAAAAGGCCUUAUUUAUUCAUGAGAGACAGAGAGAGAGAGAGAGAGAGAGAGAGAGGCAGAGAAGUAGGCAGAGGGAGAAGCAGGCUCCCUGUGGGGAGCCCGAUAUGGGACUUGAUCCCAGGACCCCGAGAUCAUGACCUGAGCCAAAGGCAGAUGCUCAACCACUGAGUCACCCAGGUGCCCCUAGCUGGUUUGAAGAACACUGGAUUCUCACAAAUUCAUUAUCUUCAAAAGAAAAAAAAAUUUGAUUCACAUCUGUUUCCAAGUUUUUCUGGUUGUGCCAAGGCAUAGGCAGACAUGUUAUAGCAGUUUUGAGCACAGACAGCUUCACUUUUGAUUUUUGGUUCUGCUCUUUCCUCACAUGUGUGAUCUUUGGCGAAUUAUGGCAAAUCACACACCUUCCUAACACCUCAGUUUUCUUACCCGUAAAAUGAGUAAUGUAACAGCUACUACACGGUUGUAUUCAUCCCAAAGAUGAAUAAGUUAAUAGAUGCCAACACCUCGCACCAAGGACUCCUUACAUGUUGGCCACUGUAUUCCAGCUGAAUUCUUGUGGAUUCAUUCACUGCUGAUGCUACUCUAAGAUGUUUGAGGCUGUAGCUGUUAAUUCUAAAGCAACUUUUAUUAUUUCCAACAGGCUUUACUCUGUAGAAGUUGAUGUCAGCUCCAUGCCUUUCUGUCUUCUUCUUGUGGUGGGAGAUUAUUUCCCUAAGGAUUAAUUGAUUUAAGAUAGUAGGAAGUUGGGUGCCUGGGUGGCUCAGUGGGUUAAAUGUCCGACUCUUGAUUUUGGCUCAGAUUGUGAUCUCAGGGUUGUGAGAUUAAACCCCAUGUUGGGCUCCAUGCUUAGCAUGGAGCUUGCUUCAGAUUCUCUCUCUCCCUCUCUCCCUGCCCCUCCUCUAACCCCCACUCCAAUGGCAUGUGCACUCUCUUUAAAAAAUAAAUAUUAGGGGAUCCCUGGGUGGCUCAGGGGUUUAGCGCCUGCCUUCUGCCCAGGGCAUGAUCCUGGAGUCCCGGGAUCGAGUCGCACAUCAGGCUUCCUGCAUGGCCCCUCCUUCUCCCUCUGCUUGUGUCUCUGUCCCUCUCUUUCUCUCUCUGUGUCUCUCAUGAAUAAAUAAAUAAAAUCUUUAAAUAAAAUAAAAAAAUAUAG